CGCCGGUGCUUCCCUGUUGCUGGGGGGGCAGGACCCUCCCAGCUCGCCCUCGGGUGUCGAGAGCCUGGCGCUUGCUGGUGGAGUGAGGGUCUUGACCUGCUGCUUGAGCCACAGCACGUGCAUUGUUCUACCAGUUAGGACGUGAAGUUCUAAGCAACCCAGUUCCCCAUAAUAAUCAAGUGUUCUCUAGUAUUCAUGUGGUGGCAGAAGGAGCCAAAAUGGCCAGGUCACAGUCUCAACUUCUAGUUCAGUGGAGCCAUUGUUUCAUCUCCUACGGGAAGCAUUAAUCCCUUGGGACACAAGACCUUCAUAAAUCAUCACAUAAAUCCUCAGCCCACUGUGGAGGGACCGCCAUUCCUGCUUUAUUACACAAAUAGUGACUAAGCAGAUCAGCUGCCUGAAGCUCUGCCCACUGGACGAUUUCCCACUCUCACUGCCCUUUAGGAGCUGUAGUGAUGCAGCAGUCCACUUCUGACUGGUGUCAGCAUAUUGCCUCAGGUUUUUUGGUUUAAGUUUCUUUUUUUCCUCUCAGUCAACUGCUCAUGGGGUCUUUGUUUAGUUAGUUCACUGUGGUCUUUGUUAGGUUAAAGAAGAGGUGAAAUGUAGUCUGAGUAGGUGCCAUGGAAAUAAUGGAGCGCUUACUCAUGUAGCUCUACUUGUGCUUUCAGGACUUGCUUGAGCCUAAUCUUGUAAGAAUUACUUCCAUUUACAGUGCUGCUUUAUAGCCUCUACUUAAUAACUUGGAAGGUCAGACAACAAUUCAUGUCUUUUAAAAUAAUCAAUUUCUGAAAGGAGCCAGUAGGAAGCCAGGGGCUAUUUCUCAAAAAGAGACUAAUUAUUUGCAGAAGUAAGCAUGGCUACUGGAUCUGUGCAGUGGUUCUUUAUCAAGACUUACCAGAAGUUCCAUACAACCUCUCUAUUUGCCUCCGAUACUUGGAGGCACUGCAUCUACUGGGCCAUUAGGUAGAGUUGCAAAAUAGUAUGUGACUACUGCAUAGUUCUUUCUAGUUCUAGAUCCACCCAAAGCCUUAUAGGUUACUUAGUAGGUGGGUUGGAGCAGCAAAUUCACUUAUUUUACAUGUUGCUUCCAAAAUACACAGAGAAUACACCAGAUAUAGUUCAAAUACAGUGCCUUUUUCUUGGUGAUAAGGGUCCAGCAACAUGUCUUCAUGGUUGAAGGAAACAUCUCAAUAUGUCUAGAGCACUGGGCCUCCAGACACUUCUUAAAAGUGGGGAAUAUUCAUGGAGAUACACCACAUACCUUCUGGUAGCAUGUAUUUUAUCAAGUUAUCUAGGAUGUUUGCCACGUCCUGUUCACCAGGUCCAAUCAGCAUGAACUUACCAAUAUGGGGGACAGUGGUAGAUAAUGUCAAAGAAGAUAGGCCUGUGAAUUCUCUUGUGCACUAGAUUAAGACAGAGAUAGAUCAUAUAUCCUUAAAUUACAACAGAGAAGGUAUGGUGUUCUCUCUACCAUGUGAAAAUGAACUGUUUCUGGUGGUCUUUGCUAAUUAGUACAUAGAAAUAGAAAAAAGGGGCUUUUAAUAACUCUAGUAACUUCAAACCAUGUCUCAAGAGCUCUGUGAAUUUCUUUCUGUAAUAAGAUCACAUCUGAAAUAGAAGCUGCAUUGGAAUCACCACCUAAUAUUGUCUACAGGAAACCAUUGUAUUUUCUGUCCUCCAUAGAAACUAAAUAGGUGAGUUAAAUGAAGCUUCAACAGGAAUCACUCUUUCUACACUCUGCUAGUCUUGGGUGGAUGCAGUGGCAUUUGCAGUUACCUCAGGUUUGCAGUAAUACUUCUGAUUUAUAAUUUGGAAGGGAUGGCCUGUUCCAGGGUUUCCCGAACCCUUCCUACCACAAUAGCCUUCUCAGUGAUCCAAGGCAGGAAACCUGCAAGCGGCAGAGCGUGUCUAUGCCAACUGCAAAUUCAGGAAUCAGCAGAUGGUUGAUUCUUUGACUGAAUGGACCUACAGUGACACAGACUGGGAUAAAAUUGUCAUUUAUCACCUGACCACUGGAAACUUUCCCUCUAACUGAUGAAGCACUAUGACAUUUUGGAUUCGCAGAUACUAAUUUCAUCUCAGAGUCACUUUUCAGUGCUUAUCUUCCCCCAGUACCUUGUUUCCAUGGUAAAAUGGCUACAGUUUCUAUUUCCUGAAAAUGAGAAGGAAAUUUAGAGUUCAUACUUGAGGCCCUUUUGCCUGGUCUCCAGGGAUACCUACCUGCUCUUUCGUAUGGCAUUGAGUCUGUGAAUGGGCUUAGGUCUGGGAACUGGUUCAGGGCCUGUGGUGGUGCCACAUGUCCGGUUUCUAUUUAGAAACCGAGAAAUUACGCGUGAGACCAAAUGAGACUUCUGUAGGCUGCCCAUCUGUCUAACUGGCAUCAUCAGCUAGCUGCCUAUAAACAUCUCUAUUCGUUACUUCAUUCUGAUUAUUGCUCCAAAUUUCUGCCUAUUACUGAAUCUGAGAUCAUUUUGUAUUUAGAAAUUAAGUGCUAUUACUUGGCUUCUGCCAUUUACAGAUCCCAUCCCUCCCCAAUAAAAUUAAGGAAUAUGUUUCAAGGUAUAAUAUUUAGCAUCACUUCUGCAAAGAACCAAUGUAGAGCUCUUCAAGGAUACUGGAACUCUCUUACCAAUGUACGUCUUAGUGCUUUAGGGAGAAUGUCCUUCCAGAUUCCUCGAGGCAUGGAGUAGGUUAGGGGAACAACUUAUACAUAAUAAAGGUACUUCAACAUUUCUUUCUCCUUAUUCUUUUGAUACAUUAUUACAGAUGAAGGUUGAUUCUCAGAUUAAAUAAACCAAGUAACCAACCGAGUAAACUCUUGAAACCAUUCCCAGUGGCUUAGGUUAGCACAUUAGAGAAACUCUGAUAAAUACACCCUGCCAAUAAAUUCUGCCUGACAGCGUUAGGUUAGUCCCUCCCCAGUUUAACACCCAUGGAAUCCGUG